rnacentral:rRNA from 1 species
UACGUAGGGUGCAAGCGUUAAUCGGAAUUACUGGGCGUAAAGCGUGCGCAGGCGGUUGUGUAGGACAGGUGUGAAAUCCCCGAGCUUAACUUGGGAAUUGCACUUGUGACUGCACGGCUAGAGUGCGGCAGAGGGGGAUGGAAUUCCGCGUGUAGCAGUGAAAUGCGUAGAUAUGCGGAGGAACACCGAUGGCGAAGGCAAUCCCCUGGGCCUGCACUGACGCUCAUGCACGAAAGCGUGGGGAGCAAACAGGAUUAGAUACCCUGGUAGUCCACGCCCUAAACGAUGUCAACUGGUUGUUGGGAAUUAACUUUCUCAGUAACGAAGCUAACGCGUGAAGUUGACCGCCUGGGGAGUACGGCCGCAAGGUUGAA